GCUAGGUGUGGUGGCGCACACCUGUAAUCUCAGCAUCUCGUGAGGCUGAGGCAGGAGGAUCACGAGUUCAAAGCCAAUCUCAGCAAGAGUUAGGUUCAAAGUAAAUUAUUGAGACCCUGUCUCUA
rnacentral:sRNA from 1 species